rnacentral:lncRNA from 1 species
ACACACACCCCUACACACACCACACACACAUCUACACCCACCACACACACCUCCACACACCACACCUACACUCAUACACCUACACACACCCCUACACACACCACACACACAUCUACACCCACACCUACACACACCACACCUAUACUCAUACACCUACACACACCCCUACACACACCACACACACAUCUACACCCACACCUACACACACCACACCUAUACUCAUACACCUACACACACCCUUACACACACCACACACACAUCUACACCCACCACACCUACACACACACCACAUGCAUCUACACCUACACACACACCCCUACACCUACACAUACACACAUACACACCUACACACACCACACACCUACACCUACACCAACACAUACACACCUACAUUCAUACACCUACAUACACACCCCUGCAUAUACCACACCUACACACUCAUACACCUACACACACACCACACACAUCUACACCCACACCUACACACACACCACAUGCAUCUACACCUACACACACACCCCUACACCUACACAUACACACAUACACACCUACACACACCACACACCUACACCUACACACACCUACACCUACACACCUACACUCAUACACCUACAUACACACCC